CUAAAAAAGUAGGUGACAGGUGUUCUUUUUAGAAUGAAAAGGGAAAGUGGUGAAAAUCCACUACAGCCCCCGCUACUGUGAAUGAUGACGAAUUCUAAGUAUACCACUGGCUAUUUGCUGGGAAGGGUAGAAGGAGGAUGAAUCAUGAGUCAGGAGACCUGCCUGUUGCUCUUCGCAAGU
rnacentral:ncRNA from 2 species